rnacentral:rRNA from 1 species
AUUGAACGCUGGCGGCAGGCCUAACACAUGCCAGUCGAGCGGAUGAAGGGAGCUUGCUCCUGGAUUCAGCGGCGGACGGGUGAGUAAUGCCUAGGAAUCUGCCUGGUAGUGGGGGAUAACGUCCGGAAACGGGCGCUAAUACCGCAUACGUCCUGAGGGAGAAAGUGGGGGAUCUUCGGACCUCACGCUAUCAGAUGAGCCUAGGUCGGAUUAGCUAGUUGGUGGGGUAAAGGCCUACCAAGGCGACGAUCCGUAACUGGUCUGAGAGGAUGAUCAGUCACACUGGAACUGAGACACGGUCCAGACUCCUACGGGAGGCAGCAGUGGGGUAUAUUGGACAAUGGGCGAAAGCCUGAUCCAGCCAUGCCGCGUGUGUGAAGAAGGUCUUCGGAUUGUAAAGCACUUUAAGUUGGGAGGAAGGGCAGUAAGUUAAUACCUUGCUGUUUUGACGUUACCAACAGAAUAAGCACCGGCUAACUUCGUG